GACGAACGCUGGCGGCGUGCUUAACACAUGCAAGUCGAACGAAGUGGCGAACGGGUGAGUAACGCGUAAUCAACCUGCCCUUCCGAGGGGGACAACAGUUGGAAACGACUGCUAAUACCGCAUACUGAAGGAGGGGAUUGCGUUGGAUUAGCUAGUUGGAGGGGUAACGGCCCACCAAGGCGAUGAUCAGUAGCCGGUCUGAGAGGGUGAACGGCCACACUGGGACUGAGACACGGCCCAGACUCCUACGGGAGGCAGCAGUAGGGAAUCUUCCGAAAUGGGGGAAAGUCUGACGGAGCAACGCCGCGUGAGUGAUGACGGGCUUCGGGUUGUAAAGCUCUGUUAAUCAGGACGCGGUACCGGAAUAGAAAGCCACGGCUAACUACGUGCCAGCAGCCGCGGUAAUAC
rnacentral:rRNA from 1 species